rnacentral:rRNA from 1 species
GAUGAACGCUGGCGGCGUGCCUAAUACAUGCAAGUCGAGCGAACAGACGAGGAGCUUGCUCCUCUGACGUUAGCGGCGGACGGGUGAGUAACACGUGGAUAACCUACCUAUAAGACUGGGAUAACUUCGGGAAACCGGAGCUAAUACCGGAUAAUAUAUUGAACCGCAUGGUUCAAUAGUGAAAGACGGUUUUGCUGUCACUUAUAGAUGGAUCCGCGCCGCAUUAGCUAGUUGGUAAGGUAACGGCUUACCAAGGCAACGAUGCGUAGCCGACCUGAGAGGGUGAUCGGCCACACUGGAACUGGGACACGGUCCCGGCUCCUACGGGAGGCAGCAGUAGGGAAUCUUCCGCAAUGGGCGGAAGCCUGACGGAGCAACGCCGCGUGAGUGAUGAAGGUCUUCGGAUCGUAAAACUCUGUUAUUAGGGAAGAACAAAUGUGUAAGUAACUAUGCACGUCUUGACGGUACCUAAUCAGAAAGCCACGGCUAACUACGUG